rnacentral:rRNA from 1 species
AGAGUUUGAUCAUGGCUCAGAUUGAACGCUGGCGGCAUGCCUUACACAUGCAAGUCGAACGGCAGCACGGGGGCAACCCUGGUGGCGAGUGGCGAACGGGUGAGUAAUACAUCGGAACGUGUCCUGUAGUGGGGGAUAGCCCGGCGAAAGCCGGAUUAAUACCGCAUACGAUCUACGGAUGAAAGCGGGGGACCGAAAGGCCUCGCGCUAGAGGGGCGGCCGAUGGCAGAUUAGCUAGUUGGUGGGGUAAAGGCCUACCAAGGCGACGAUCCGUAGCUGGUCUGAGAGGACGACCAGCCACACUGGGACUGAGACACGGCCCAGACUCCUACGGGAGGCAGCAGUGGGGAAUUUUGGACAAUGGGGGCAACCCUGAUCCAGCAAUGCCGCGUGUGUGAAGAAGGCCUUCGGGUUGUAAAGCACUUUUGUCCGGAAAGAAAUCCUUUGGGCUAAUACCUCGGGGGGAUGACGGUACCGGAAGAAUAAGCACCGGCUAACUACGUGCCAGCAGCCGCGGUAAUACGUAGGGUGCGAGCGUUAAUCGGAAUUACUGGGCGUAAAGCGUGCGCAGGCGGUUCGCUAAGACCGAUGUGAAAUCCCCGGGCUUAACCUGGGAACUGCAUUGGUGACUGGCGGGCUAGAGUAUGGCAGAGGGGGGUAGAAUUCCACGUAGCAGUGAAAUGCGUAGAGAUGUGGAGGAAUACCGAUGGCGAAGGCAGCCCCCUGGGCCAAUACUGACGCUCAUGCACGAAAGCGUGGGGAGCAAACAGGAUUAGAUACCCCCGUAGUCC